rnacentral:lncRNA from 1 species
UAUAAUUCGGGAUGAAGGGAGUACUUGUUUUAUAGCUUAUUUUUGGGCGACACGUCCAAUUUUUUUGGGUAGGAAUAAUCUUUUGAAACAACAAUCAUAGUAAGUUUUGAAAUUUGUAAUUGUAGUAAUUGAAUUCUUGGAAUCAAUAAGUAAUAACGGUUUGAAUUCAUACACGAUGAAAAGUAAUUUCAGGCAAAGGUCGUGGGAGAUGGCGACAUCCAUCGCCGCCGCAUGGGGAACGAUGGCGGAGCAGUACGACGCGAGAAGCAUUGUUGGCUGAGCCAUGCGCGAGUGAGGAAGAGGAGAGGGGGUCAGAUGUAGGAA